rnacentral:rRNA from 1 species
UCAGGACGAACGCUGGCGGCGUGCCUAAUACAUGCAAGUCGAACGGCUUUUCUAUGGAAGCUUGCUUCCACUGAGAAGAUAGUGGCGAACGGGUGAGUAACACGUGGGUAACCUGCCCAUAAGAGGGGGAUAACAUCCGGAAACGGGUGCUAAUACCGCAUAGUUUUCUUGGUCGCAUGAUCGGGAAAGGAAAGACGGCCUUUGUGCUGUCGCUUAUGGAUGGACCCGCGGCGUAUUAGUUAGUUGGUGAGGUAACGGCUCACCAAGACGAUGAUACGUAGCCGACCUGAGAGGGUGAUCGGCCACAUUGGGACUGAGACACGGCCCAAACUCCUACGGGAGGCAGCAGUAGGGAAUCUUCCGCAAUGGACGAAAGUCUGACGGAGCAACGCCGCGUGAGUGAAGAAAAGGUUUUCGGAUCGUAAAACUCUGUUGUCAGAGAAGAACAAGUUGGAGAGUAACUGCUCCAGCCUUGACGGUAUCUGACCAGAAAGCCACGGCUAACUACGUGCCAGCCGCCGC